rnacentral:rRNA from 1 species
UAGUGGCGAACGGGUGAGUAACACGUGAGUAACCUGCCCUUGACUCUGGGAUAACCUCCGGAAACGGAAGCUAAUACCGGAUAUGACGCACGGAGGCAUCUCCUGUGCGUGGAAAGAACUUCGGUCAAGGAUGGACUCGCGGCCUAUCAGGUAGUUGGUGAGGUAACGGCCCACCAAGCCUACGACGGGUAGCCGGCCUGAGAGGGUGACCGGCCACACUGGGACUGAGACACGGCCCAGACUCCUACGGGAGGCAGCAGUGGGGAAUAUUGCACAAUGGGCGCAAGCCUGAUGCAGCAACGCCGCGUGAGGGACGACGGCCUUCGGGUUGUAAACCUCUUUUAGUAGGGAAGAAGCGAAAGUGACGGUACCUGCAGAAAAAGCACCGGCUAACUACGUGCCAGCAGCCGCGGUAAUACGUAGGGUGCGAGCGUUGUCCGGAAUUAUUGGGCGUAAAGAGCUCGUAGGCGGUCUGUCGCGUCUGCUGUGAAAUCCCGAGGCUCAACCUCGGGCCUGCAGUGGGUACGGGCAGACUAGAGUGCGGUAGGGGAGAAUGGAAUUCCUGGUGUAGCGGUGGAAUGCGCAGAUAUCAGGAGGAACACCGAUGGCGAAGGCAGUUCUCUGGGCCGUAACUGACGCUG